rnacentral:tRNA from 1 species
GUCAGGAUGGCCGAGUGGUCAAAGGCGCUACGUUCAGGUCGUAGUCUACUCUGUAGGCGUGGGUUCGAAUCCCACUUCUGACA